rnacentral:rRNA from 1 species
GGCUCAUCUCAUCCUGGGGCUGUAGUCGGUCCCAAGGGUAUGGCUGUUCGCCAUUUAAAGAGGUACGUGAGCUGGGUUUAAAACGUCGUGAGACAGUUUGGUCCCUAUCUUCCGUGGGCGCUGCAGAUUUGAGGAAGCCUGCUCCUAGUACGAGAGGACCGGAGUGGACACACCUCUGGUGUAUCGGUUGUCACGCCAGUGGCAUUGCCGAGUAGCUAAGUGUGGAAGAGAUAACCGCUGAAAGCAUCUAAGCGGGAAACUCGUUUCAAGAUGAGAUCUGCCGGGGCCUUGAGCCCCCUGAAGAGUCGUUCAAGACCAGGACGUUGAUAGGCUGGGUGUGGAAGCGCAGUAAUGCGUUAAGCUAACCAGUACUAAUUGCUCGUGAGGCUUGACCCUAUAACUUUG